rnacentral:rRNA from 1 species
GACGAACGCUGGCGGCGUGCCUAAUACAUGCAAGUAGAACGCACAGUUUAUACCGUAGCUUGCUACACCAUAGACUGUGGGUUGCGAACGGGUGAGUAACGCGUAGGUAACCUGCCUGGUAGCGGGGGAUAACUAUUGGAAACGAUAGCUAAUACCGCAUAAUAUUGAUUAUUGCAUGAUAAUUGAUUGAAAGAUGCUAUUGCAUCACUACCAGAUGGACCUGCGUUGUAUUAGCUAGUAGGUGAGGUAACGGCUCACCUAGGCGACGAUACAUAGCCGACCUGAGAGGGUGAUCGGCCGCACUGGGACUGAGACACGGCCCAGACUCCUACGGGAGGCAGCAGUAGGGAAUCUUCGGCAAUGGACGAAAGUCUGACCGAGCAACGCCGCGUGAGUGAAGAAGGUUUUCGGAUCGUAAAGCUCUGUUGUAAGAGAAGAACGGGUGUGAGAGUGGAAAGUUCACACUGUGACGGUAUCUUACCAGAAAGGGACGGCUAACUACGUG